UACGGGGGGGGCAAGCGUUGUUCGGAAUUACUGGGCGUAAAGGGCUCGUAGGUGGCCAACUAAGUCAGACGUGAAAUCCCUCGGCUUAACCGGGGAACUGCGUCUGAUACUGGAUGGCUUGAGUUCGGGAGAGGGAUGCGGAAUUCCCGGUGUAGCAGUGAAAUGCGUAGAGAUCGGGAGGAACACCAGUGGCGAAGGCGGCCUUCUGGACCAAUACUGACGCUCAUGCACGAAAGCGUGGGGAGCAAACAGG
rnacentral:rRNA from 1 species